AUACGGAGGAUGCGAGCGUUAUCCGGAUUUAUUGGGUUUAAAGGGAGCGUAGGUGGGAUAUUAAGUCAGCUGUGAAAGUUUGGGGCUCAACCUUAAAAUUGCAGUUGAUACUGGUUUCCUUGAGUACGGUAUAGGUGGGCGGAAUUCGUGGUGUAGCGGUGAAAUGCUUAGAUAUCACGAAGAACUCCGAUCGCGAAGGCAGCUCACCGGGCCGGAACUGACACUGAUGCUCGAAAGUGCGGGUAUCAAACAGGAUUAGAUACCCUGGUAGUCCGCACAGUAAACGAUGAAUACUCGCUGUUUGCGAUAUACAGUAAGCGGCCAAGCGAAAGCAUUAAGUAUUCCACCUGGGGAGUACGCCGGCAACGGUGAAACUCAAAUGAAUUGACGGGG
rnacentral:rRNA from 1 species